CUAUAGCCAUACCAUCCUGAAUGUGCCCGAUCCCGUCUAAUCUCAGAAGCUAAGCAGGAUCGGGCCCGGUUAGUACUUGCAUGGGAGACCACCUAGGAAGACCAGGUGCUUCCUAGG
rnacentral:rRNA from 1 species